AUGCACGCUGGCGGCGUGCUUAACACCUGCCAGUCGAACGAAGCACUUUAUUUGAUUUCCUUCGGGACUGAUUAUUUUGUGACUGAGUGGCGGACGGGUGAGUAACGCGUGGGUAACCUGCCUUGUACAGGGGGAUAACAGUUGGAAACGGCUGCUAAUACCGCAUAAGCGCACGGCAUCGCAUGAUGCAGUGUGAAAAACUCCGGUGGUAUAAGAUGGACCCGCGUUGGAUUAGCUAGUUGGUGGGGUAACGGCCCACCAAGGCGACGAUCCAUAGCCGACCUGAGAGGGUGACCGGCCACAUUGGGACUGAGACACGGCCCAAACUCCUACGGGAGGCAGCAGUGGGGAAUAUUGCACAAUGGGCGAAAGCCUGAUGCAGCGACGCCGCGUGAGCGAAGAAGUAUUUCGGUAUGUAAAGCUCUAUCAGCAGGGAAGAUAAUGACGGUACCUGACUAAGAAGCACCGGCUAAAUACGU
rnacentral:rRNA from 1 species